rnacentral:rRNA from 2 species
GGUAGGACUACCCGCUGAACUUAAGCAUAUCAAUAAGCGG